rnacentral:rRNA from 1 species
UACGGGGGGGGCAAGCGUUGUUCGGAAUUACUGGGCGUAAAGGGCUCGUAGGCGGCCAACUAAGUCCGACGUGAAAUCCCAAGGCUUAACCUUGGAACUGCGUCGGAUACUGGAUGGCUUGAAUUCGGGAGAGGGAUGCAGAAUUCCAGGUGUAGCGGUGAAAUGCGUAGAGAUCGGGAAGAACAUCGGUGGCGAAAGCGCUCUACUGGACCGCAACUGACACUCAGGGACGAAAGCUAGGGGAGCGAAUGGG